GCUCAGGUGGCGGAAUUGGUAGACGCGCCAGAUUUAGGUUCUGGUAUCGAGAGGUGUGAGAGUUCGAUUCUCUCCCUGAGCACCA
rnacentral:tRNA from 1 species